GACGAACGCUGGCGGCGUGCCUAAUACAUGCAAGUUGAGCGCUGAAGGUUGGUACUUGUACCAACUGGAUGAGCAGCGAACGGGUGAGUAACGCGUGGGGAAUCUGCCUUUGAGCGGUGGACAACAUUUGGAAACGAAUGCUAAUACCGCAUAAAAACUUUAAACACAAGUUUUAAGUUUGAAAGAUGCAAUUGCAUCACUCAAAGAUGAUCCCGCGUUGUAUUAGCUAGUUGGUGAGGUAAAGGCUCACCAAGGCGAUGAUACAUAGCCGACCUGAGAGGGUAAUCGGCAAAAUUGGAACGGAGACACGGCCCAAACCCCUACGGGAGGAAGCAGUGGGGAAUAUUGGGAAAUGGGCGAAAGUCGGACCGAGAAAGGCCGGGGGGGUGAAGAAGGUUUUCGGUUGGUAAACUCUGUUGGUAGAGAAGAACGUUGGUGAGAGUGGAAAGCUCAUCAAGUGACGGUAACUACCCAGAAAGGGACGGCUAACUACGUG
rnacentral:rRNA from 1 species